rnacentral:lncRNA from 10 species
AUAUCCUUUAGGGGAUGUCACGGCUUUGGUUAAGUUUUCCUUUUUACUCCUUAGCUGCUAGCGCAGUUUUAAUGAUAGCUGUUUCACAUGUGCAUGCGGCACUCAUGUGGGCAGAGCUGUCAGAAGACUGUAAAGUCUCAACCAUCCUGCGAUUGCUUGCACCUGAGGAAGACGGAAUGACGAUGUUCUGCGCCAUGGAUGAAAGUCCUGAAAUGCAGUGUGAGUCUGGGCUCUGACAUGUGGGCUCUGGUGAAAGUUGGCACGCAAGUGACUCCACCUGUGGGCUCUGGCAUCCUCAGUCUGAACAUGAAAGGACUAACACCUUUGUCUAUGACCCAGAAUGGCUGUGGGAAUUAAACAAGAUGAAAAUAGGUGGAAAUCGAAGCUUUUCAGUUUGCCCCCUAGAACGGACGCUGAGACCAGUGUGUGUGCUGGGGAGUUACAGGCCUCACUCUCAGGACGAAGCCUGCACUGAGUGAAGAGGGAGCCAAGGGAGGAGUCUAACCGGCCAGCAGCUGCAGCCAAGGCCUCUGCCCAUUCCGUGGGAGUUCUGGACCUGGGGUUGGUGGGGGGGCCUUCAGAGUGGCCCCAAACAAAGGCAAAGGGACGAGCCUUUGUACCCGCCCUGCAGGCUGUUCAGUGGAGAUGAUGCAGCCUCGGUGAGGCCACAGCUUUGCAUAUGUCCAUUUCAAAUACAACAGCAAAGCUUACAGGCAAUUUGGGAUUUCAUGAAGUCAAUGAAAGUGACGUUGGAGAAUUGCUCAGGACUUUCCCACGGUCACUGGCACACGGUUAACUAUAAUUAGCAAUUAAAGAGCAAGUAAUCACCAUGGAAAGUGGCACAACAGCAUUAAGAGAUCUGCAUCCGCACAGCUCCGGUUAAAGACGCCUUUGAGAAAGAUGAUACAGCGAUGCAAGAGUGUUGCAGACAUGGCCUUUCGUGGGGGAGCGCUGUAAGCUGGGGGGGUGUCUCAUCCUGCUGGCUUAGAGUUUUGUUGGAAAAAUUACACCAGAAAAACAGUAACACUGGAAGCCUUCUUUGCUGAAUCUAAGGAUUAUUGCAUAAUUAUAACUUAAAUUUUGUAUAAACUAAAAUAAAUUUAUAUAAUUCGGUUUUAUUUGGUUUCAAGGUAAAACCAUCAACUGACCUUUUUUUUUUCAUUAUUUAUUAUGAAAGUUUUAUUCUUGUUUAAAGUGGAUUUUCCCUUACAUAGCCUUUUCCUGGGAACACGUAUCUUCAGAGGACAUCAACACCAGCCUCUCCUGCCAUGUCUUACGUCAAACUCAAUCCCUUCUGAGGGCCUCAGCUGAUGUCACAUCCAUAUAAGAAAUUGGGACACACCUUGGAAGUUUCAGUUUUGGUAUCCUGUGGUAAAAGUUGGUAUCUAGACAGGAUUAGCCAUCACAUCCCCAAGAAUGAGCUAUGGCUAGAUUUCUUCAGCUGAAGAUGAAAGACAUCUGCCUGCGAGUCAGCUCUAGAGGGUAAGAAAAUCUAGGCUUGGGAAGGUCAGAUGAAGAGGGUGGGAUCUCAAUCUCUAAAGACUUGGAAUUUCAAUCCCAGCUUCAGUUGUUCCAUCAAGAAAUGAGAAAAUGACAACAUAGAAUUGUCAUUUAUGGCAAAUUAUGCAUAAAUGUAAAAUAACUGCACUGCAGUUUCUGAAAACACUAAGAUUCCUAAAUAAACACCUGGGGCAUUGAGAUAGAUCGUGAGAAAUAAUACACAAAAGUAGAGGCAUGAAGGAGACCACAGGCCUCAGAUGGCAACAAAGUGUGGUAAAAACCAUCCUGUGUUGGGCCAGGUGCAGUGGCUCACGCCUGUAAUCCCAGCACUUUGGGAGGCCAAGGAGGGUAGAUCAUGAGGUCAGGAGAUGGAGACCAUCCUGGCCAACAUGGUGAAACCCCCUGUCUACUAAAAAUACAAAAAUUAGCUGGGCGUGGUGGCACGUGCCUGUAGUCCCAGCUCUCGGGAGGCUGAGGCAGGAGAAUCACUUGAACCCAGGAGU